GCCACCCUAGCUCAGCUGGUAGAGCGAUGCUUUCGUAAAGCAUAGGUCGUCGGUUCAAAUCCGAUGGGUGGCU
rnacentral:tRNA from 1 species